UUUGCGUCACUGUCACCGACAAGGUGAGGACCUGCCAGUUCCUGUCUCUCUCCAGGAGAGGAGGAACAGACCACUUCCCAGGGGAAUCUGAGUCAGCUAAGUACAUGCUGCGACCGUUUGAUGGAAACACCAAGUGAUUUCUACUGGGGAAUCUCUGAGAAAUACUGUAAAGCCAUUACCUUCUUCGAACAGACCAUCUGUCUCCCGGUAUCACUGAAAACAGCCAUCGCUUAAAAGGCAACUCAGCCCAGCCUGGUCAGGUGCUAAUAAUCAAGGACAUGAGUUAAUAAGGCAAAAUAAUUAGAGGAUUAGUGUCAUGACCUACCUGAACCAAGGGACUCGAACGCAGGAAGCAGUGCCACUCGAGGACGUCAGGGCAGCGCUGACACCCUUUAAUAAGUCAAGGAUGCAGUGUCCAUCACAAACCUUUCCUGCUCUGAUUGCCUGAGAUUUAUGGGAUCCUGAUGAGUCACUAGGGACGUGAAAUCAUAACUAGAAGAAGCACCACCACCAAUGAAACAGCGUGUCACAGCUCAGCGUACGUGGUCGACCCUUCCUGACAACAUCUCAUAACCACAGAACAGAGGAGAUGCCUGUGUUAUCCCGACGUAAAUAUGGACCCCAGGAGAAACCAGCUCUUUGGACCCACGGGUGGAUGAGCAUCUGAAAUUAGGCUGUGAUGUUGUCUGAUUCUUGUGCCCCUCCCCUUGAAGGUGGGUGUGAUCUAACUCACUGUGACACGAGAGCGUCCAGCCGGUCCAUCAGGACGGUCUCCAGGGACAGGGUCCCGAGGAGGAGUCUUAAGGAAAGUGAUACGUGGUCUUCAGUGUCUUGAGUCUGAAGGGAAGCAGCCUCGAAGAAGGCACACGAGUACCUUGUGGCCUCUCCCGUUGUGGAGCACAGGCUCAGCGGCCAUGGCUCACGGGCCCAGCAGCUCUGCAGCAUGUGGGAUCUUCCUGGACCGGGGCACGAACCCAUGUCCCCUGCAUCGGCAGGUGGACUCUCAACCACUGCACCACCAGGGAAG